rnacentral:rRNA from 1 species
CCUACGGGUGGCAGCAGUGAGGAAUAUUGGUCAAUGGACGCGAGCCUGAACCAGCCAAGUAGCGUGAAUGAUGACUGCCCUACGGGUUGUAAACUUCUUUUAUAAAGGAAUAAAAUGAGGCACGUGUGCCUUUUUGUAUGUAUUUUAUGAAUAAGGAUCGGCUAACUCCGUGCCAGCAGCCGCGGUAAUACGGAGGAUCCGAGCGUUAUCCGGAUUUAUUGGGUUUAAAGGGAGCGUAGAUGGGUUGUUAAGUCAGUUGUGAAAGUUUGCGGCUCAACCGUAAAAUUGCAAUUGAUACUGGCAGUCUUGAGUACAGUUGAGGUAGGCGGAAUUCGUGGUGUAGCGGUGAAAUGCUUAGAUAUCACGAAGAACCCCGAUUGCGAAGGCAGCCUACUAAACUGUGACUGACAUUGAUGCUCGAAAGUGUGGGUAUCAAACAGGAUUAGAUACCCUAGUAGUC